GUAGGGAAUUUUCCGCAAUGGGCGAAAGCCUGACGGAGCAAUGCCGCGUGAGGGAUGAAGGCCUUCGGGUCGUAAACCUCUGUCGUCGGGGAAAAAAGCGCAGAGCAGGAAAUGGCUGUGCGUGGAUGGUACCCGAGGAGGAAGCCACGGCCAAUUACGUGCCAGCAGCCGCGGUAAUACGUAAGUGGCGAGCGUUGUCCGGAAUUACUGGGCGUAAAGGGCAGGUAGGCGGCUCGGAAAGUCUGAGGUGAAAUCCCAGGGCUUAACCCUGGAACCGCCUUGGAAACUCCCGAGCUGGAGGUCCAGAGGGGGAAGUGGAAUUUCAGGUGUAGCGGUGAAAUGCGUAGAUAUCUGAGAGAACACCAAUGGCGAAGGCAGCUUCCUGGCUGGAACCUGACGCUGAACUGCGAAAGCUAGGGGAGCGAACGGGAUUAGAAACCCCUGUAGUCC
rnacentral:rRNA from 1 species